GCCAAUCUGUGUGUAGGCAUGGAAGCAAACAUCCUCUCUUGGCUUCUGCAGCAAAUUCCAAGUGGCAAUGGAACUUUACCUUCGCUGACUCUUUUGUUUCUUUUUUCCCGUGGAUUCUGUGCUUUUGUUUUUGUUUCUGGUUUUGGUUUUUAUAUAACUCAGAAGUUAUUUCCUAAUGUGCCAGAAAUGUUUGUGAAUUUGGUUUUAUAGCCUAUUUGAUCAUCCUUUUUAGGUGGAGACCUAUUCUGUUGGGUUAGAGAUGACAGAAAAUCUUAUUUGUCGGUUGGUUUGUUUGUUCAAGAAUACACUGACCUUCUACAAGAAAGGAGAGCUCUUUGACACCUGGAAAUUUUACAGAAGCUUGGGACAGCUCUGAAUGGCAACACGGUCCUGAGAUAUGUGAUUACCUGGGACUUUCAUUGGACCUGCAUUUCAGCUCUACUCUCCUCACUGCCCUAUGCUGCUUUGACCCUAAAAGUGAAGCCAGCUUGGCCAGGUGCAGUGACUCACACCUGUAAUCCCAGCACUUUGGGAGGCCGAGGUGGGCAAAUCAAGAAGUCAGGAAAUCGAGACCACCCUGGCCAACAUUGUGAAACACCAUCUCUACUAAAACACAAAAAAAUUAGCCAGGUGUGGUGGCACGCACCUGUAGUCCCAGCUACUCGGGAGGCUGAGGCAGGGGAAUCACUUGAACCCGUGAGGAGGAAAUUGCAGCGAGCCAAGAUCGCGCCACUGCACCCCAGCCUGGGCGACAGAGAGAGACUCCAUCUCAAAAACAAAACAAAACAAAACAAAAAAAACAAAAAGUGAAGCCAACUCAAUUGUCUCAUAGAACUGAUCUUUACGGUGUUUUUAAAUAAACAUAGAAAUUGGCCCUCCCAGUCUUAAAACUUCAAAAACUUACAUUUGUCUUACCUCAGUUCCUUUCUCAGGAAUCCAAUCAUCAAGGCUCCCAGAUAGUAUCAAUGAACGGAAACUUACCAGAUCACGAUAUCUGGACAAUGAGAUGUCAGAUCCCCCUCAUCCAUCCUGAUUACCUAACUGACUACCUGCUUCCUGUUGGCCAACUACUCUUCCUUACCCCUCCCUAAUUCUUGUUUUCCCACAAAUGGUUACAUUUCUGUCCUGCUAUAGAAGCCCUUAAUUUUAAUUGGUCGAGGAGAUGGAUUUGAGACUGAUUUUUUGCUCUCCUUGGCUGUUGCACCUGAAUAGCCUUUUUCCCUGGCAAUACUUUUUGUCUCAGUGAUUGGCUUUCUGUGCAGUGAGCAAUGGGACCAAACUUCUGGUGUUUUGGUAACAAAUUUUGGUUUCCUGACUGUGAAUGCAUUGCUUGUGACUCAGCUGCCAUGAGCUGGGAGAGUUUCAAAAGCCCUCUAAGCAGCUACCUGACCAUUUUGGCCAGAGGUGGAUUUUCGUCUCUCCCCAUUUGGGCCCACUUCUGCCAACCCCAACCAUGUUCCUGAUUGCCUAGGAAGAACAGCCUUUGAAAUUUGACGUCUAUGUACAGAAAGAGACGGGGUUUUACCAUGCUGCUGCACACUGGUCUUGAACUCCUGGGCUCUAGUGAUCCACCUGCUCAGCUUCCCAAAGUAAUGGGAAUACAGAAAAGACCAACCACAGUGAUUAAAGGGAUGAAAAAGAUGACCUGCUUGAAAACUCUAAAGAACCCAGUAUUAUUUGAAAGAAGAGGAAGCUGAAUGGUAACUUAAUAACUAUCUUCAGAUUUCAACAGGACUACUACUUCUGUUUUAUCCAUUUCUAUAGAGUUUGAAA
rnacentral:lncRNA from 1 species